rnacentral:rRNA from 1 species
CCUACGGGAGGCAGCAGUGAGGAAUAUUGGUCAAUGGGCGAGAGCCUGAACCAGCCAAGUCGCGUGAGGGAGUACUGCCCUAUGGGUUGUAAACCUCUUUUGUCGGGGAGCAAAAGCCGGACGUGUCCGGCUGUGAGAGUACCCGAAGAAAAAGCAUCGGCUAACUCCGUGCCAGCAGCCGCGGUAAUACGGAGGAUGCGAGCGUUAUCCGUAUUUAUUUGGUUUAAAGGGUGCGCAGGCGGAGUUUUAAGUCAGCGGUCAAAUCGUGGGGCUCAAACACAUCCAGACGUUGAAACGGGGGAUCUCGAGGGUGCGAGAGGUAUGCGGAAUGCGUGGUGUAGCGGUGAAAUGCAUAGAUAUCACGCAGAACCCCGAUUGCGAAGGCAGCAUACCGGUGCACAACUGACGCUCAGGCACGAAAGCGUGGGUAUCGAACAGGAUUAGAUACCCCAGUAGUC